UGUCCGUGAAUUUUAUGAUUAAAGUCCAUCAUCCGUGCCCUGGCUGCUCUACAGGGUGUAUCAGGACAGGAGGCAGAAGACUUAUUUCUUGGUGGCCCAGAAUACAGUAUCAGUGAAGUGGAAGAAUUUAACCGAAAGAUAGGGCAGCAAUUAAAGAAGGAGGGAAUGCUGUGAUAUCUGUUGGAAUAGAAGAUGAUGCUACUGCCCAGUGCUUCCAGAAUCCUUCAUUUGAGUCUUGGGUCUGAAUCUACUGCGUCAUUGCCAAGUAUUCUGGGGUAAUGUAUCUUGUUUUGUUUACAUUUUGUUUUUCUCCAUAUUCCAAGCUCAUUUACUUGACCUUAGCUUGAAUAAACUGGAUGGCUGUCUCCUUCACAAUUGAUUUUAAAGUACUAUACUAUUCAUUACAUAAAAAGCUCUGAACAAUUUAGUCCCUUCCAGUAUUUGGUACUGUCUCUCCCCCAGCACUCCUCAGUGUAAUCUUUAAUCCACAA